rnacentral:piRNA from 1 species
UACUACGUAAACCACGAACGUUCUGGU